rnacentral:rRNA from 1 species
AGUAUAACGGGGCUAAGCUUAAUACCGAAUUUAUGGAUUCAAGUUUUUUUAAAAAACUUGAAUGGUAGACAAAUGUUGUAAAUGGAUUGAAGUUUAAAUGUGAAUAUAAAUGGACUAUAUACAAGUAAGAAUUCCGGCGUUAGUAACGAAUGAAAGUGAGAAUCUUUCUAGCCAAUUGAUCAAGGUUUCCGGGGCAAGGCUCGUCCUCCUCGGGUUAGUCGAUCCUAAGGCGAGGCCGAAAGGCGUAGUUGAUGGACAACGGGUUAAUAUUCCCGUACUUCCUUGAAUUGUCAACGGGUGGACAAAAGAGGUUUAAAUAAGAGGAUUAAAUGGAUUUCCUUCUAAGUUCCGAACUAAGCUAGAGAUGAAAAUCACUCUAGCAUACAAUUACGAGGGACGAAUGAUAUCCCCGGUAGGGAUUACCGGGGAGAGUUAUUGAGAAUCCCUUUUCGAGAAAAGACUCUAGACAUAAGUUCAAGGUAUUCGUACCGAAAACGAACACACGUGAUCAAGAAGAAUAUUCUAAGGCUAGCGAGCUAACUACAGUUAAGGAACUCUGCAAAAUAACUCUGUAACUUCGGGAGAAAGAGUGCCCAAGAAGGAAUCUUGGGUCACAGUAAAGAACGAGGGCGGACUGUUUAACAAAAACACAGCUAUAUGCAAAAUUCGAAUAUGAAGUAUAUGUGGCGACACCUGCCCGGUGCCAGAAGGUCAAAGAAGG